UACAGAGGUCCCAAGCGUUGUUCGGAUUCACUGGGCGUAAAGGGUGCGCAGGUGGGUUUGCAAGUUCGAUGUGAAAGCCCCGGGCUUAACCCGGGAAUGGCAUUGGAUACUGCAGAUCUGGAGGAUCGGAGGGGGGACUGGAAUUCUUGGUGUAGCAGUGAAAUGCGUAGAUAUCAAGAGGAACACCAGUGGCGAAGGCGACUUCCUGGCCUGUUCUUGACGCUGAGGCGCGAAAGCUAGGGUAGCAAACGGG
rnacentral:rRNA from 1 species